GGGAUUUGGCAUGGGGGAACCCUGNCCAGCAAUGCCGCGUGAGUGAGGAAGGCCUUAGGGUUGUAAAGCUCUUUCGCGCGCGACGAUGAUGACGGUAGCGCGAGAAGAAGCCCCGGCUAACUUCGUGCCAGCAGCCGCGGUAAUACGAAGGGGGCGAGCGUUGUUCGGAAUUACUNGGGCNGUAAAGGGCGCGCAGGCGGCUCUUCAAGUCAGGCGUGAAAGCCCCGGGCUCAACCUGGGAAUGGCGCAUGGGACUGGAGGGCUAGAGUUCGGGAGAGGAGCGUGGAAUUCCCAGUGUAGAGGUGAAAUUCGUAGAUAUUGGGAAGAACACCGGUGGCGAAGGCGGCGCUCUGGACCGAGACUGACGCUGAGGCGCGAAAGCGUGGGGAGCAAACAGGAUUAGAUACCCUGGUAGUCCACGCCCUAAACGAUGUCUACUAGUUGUCGGGUCUUAAUUGACUUGGUAACGCAGCUAACGCGUGAAGUAGACCGCCUGGGGAGUACGGUCGCAAGAUUAAAACUCAAAAAAAUUGACGGA
rnacentral:rRNA from 1 species